GCACCGGGUAGCAGUCUCGAGUGGGUGUCCCUCAUCUGGGCGUCGGGUACUACAAACUACGGCCCAGCAGUGAAACAUCGAGCCACAGUCUCCCGGGACAAUUCCCGUUCCGAGUCAUCUCUGUCCCUGGGGGACCUGCGCCCUCAGGACUCUGCCUGCUACUUCUGUGCCGUUCCCAUAGAGACAGGAAAUCCAGCAGAGCUUUAA